AUGUGACGAGUUUGAUCAUGGCUACAGAACGAACGCUGGCGGCAUGCCUAACACAUGCAAGUCGAACGAGACCUUCGGGUCUAGUGGCGCACGGGUGCGUAACGCGUGGGAACCUGCCUUUAGGUUCGGAAUAACUCAGAGAAAUUUGAGCUAAUACCGGAUAAUGUCUUCGGACCAAAGAUUUAUCGCCUUUAGAUGGGCCCGCGUUGGAUUAGCUAGUUGGUGGGGUAAAGGCCUACCAAGGCGACGAUCCAUAGCUGGUCUGAGAGGAUGAUCAGCCACACUGGGACUGAGACACGGCCCAGACUCCUACGGGAGGCAGCAGUGGGGAAUAUUGGACAAUGGGGCGAAAGCCUGAUCCAGCAAUGCCGCGUGAGUGAUGAAGGCCUUAGGGUUGUAAAGCUCUUUUACCCGAGAUGAUAAUGACAGUAUCGGGAGAAUAAGCUCCGGCUAACUCCGUG
rnacentral:rRNA from 1 species